UACGGAGGGUGCAAGCGUUAUCCGGAUUUACUGGGUUUAAAGGGUGCGUAGGUGGGCAAUUAAGUCAGCGGUGAAAUCUCCGGGCUUAACCCGGAAAUUGCCAUUGAUACUAUUUGUCUUGAAUUAUCUGGAGGUAAGCGGAAUAUGUCAUGUAGCGGUGAAAUGCUUAGAUAUGACAUAGAACACCAAUUGCGAAGGCAGCUUACUACGGAUACAUUGACACUGAGGCACGAAAGCGUGGGGGAUCAAACAGG
rnacentral:rRNA from 1 species